rnacentral:rRNA from 1 species
GAUGAACGCUGGCGGCGUGCCUAACACAUGCAAGUCGAGCGAUUCUCUUCGGAGAAGAGCGGCGGACGGGUGAGUAACGCGUGGGUAACCUGCCCUGUACACACGGAUAACAUACCGAAAGGUAUGCUAAUACGAGAUAAUAUGCUUUUAUCGCAUGGUAGAAGUAUCAAAGCUCCGGCGGUACAGGAUGGACCCGCGUCUGAUUAGCUAGUUGGUAAGGUAACGGCUUACCAAGGCGACGAUCAGUAGCCGACCUGAGAGGGUGAUCGGCCACAUUGGAACUGAGACACGGUCCAAACUCCUACGGGAGGCAGCAGUGGGGAAUAUUGCACAAUGGGCGAAAGCCUGAUGCAGCAACGCCGCGUGAGCGAUGAA